UACGAAGGGGACUAGCGUUGCUCGGAAUCACUGGGCGUAAAGGGCGCGUAGGCGGCGUUUUAAGUCGGGGGUGAAAGCCUGUGGCUCAACCACAGAAUGGCCUUCGAUACUGGGACGCUUGAGUAUGGUAGAGGUUGGUGGAACUGCGAGUGUAGAGGUGAAAUUCGUAGAUAUUCGCAAGAACACCGGUGGCGAAGGCGGCCAACUGGACCAUUACUGACGCUGAGGAGCGAAAGUGUGGGGAGCGAACAGG
rnacentral:rRNA from 1 species